UACGGGGGGGCAAGCGUUGUUCGGAAUUACUGGGCGUAAAGGGCUCGUAGGUGGCCAACUAAGUCGGACGUGAAAUCCCUCAGCUAACUGGGAACUGCGUCCGAUACUGGAUGGCUUGAGUUUGGGAGAGGGAUGCGGAAUUCCGAGGUGUAGCGGUGAAAUGCGUGAGAGAGUCGGGAAGAACACCAACGGCGAAAGCACUCUGCUGGGCCGAAACUGACACUGGAGAGACGAAAGCUAGGGGAGCAAAUGGG
rnacentral:rRNA from 1 species